rnacentral:lncRNA from 1 species
GGGAAGCGUAGAUCUACAGUUUGGAGUCCAUGCAUGACUCGAAAGUCCUCUGCAUGUAUGUAGAUCUGAAUGGACUCGGUGAGUCCUUUGAGUGGACUCGGCGAGUACCAUGAAGAUGAGGAGGAAGUCGACGAGUGGGAUGAACAGCUCGUCGAGUCGGAUGAAGAUAGGCAUGAACUCGGCGAGUUGGAUGAACAACUCGGCGAGUUGGAUGAAGAUUGUUGUGUGCUCGGCGAGUCUGUUCUUAGACUCGGCGAGUCAGGUCGCGGAGUUCCAAACCCUUCGAGUUAAGACUCGAGUCAACGAGUCGAGCAAGGACUCAGUGAGUUGGGCAGGACAGGAAUCGGGAAUCAGUAGACUCGGCGAGUCAGGGGCUGACUCGGCGAGUAGAGUCGCGAGUGGAAGGACUCUGGACUUAUGAAAUCGGCGAGUCAGUAGGGUGACUCGACGAGUAGGGUUGACCUGGAAGGUUGACUUUGACCAGGACUUUGACUUUGACCUGAGUUGACUUGGUUGUCUUUCGGGGGUCAGUUAGACUCAGUGUUGCCUUGAUAUUGAUAGCUCGGGAAGCAAGUAGAGCAGGAGUUCAGUCAGUGGUCGACUAGCGGUCAAAGGGAUCAGCAGCAGUUCAGCAGUAUCAGGUGAGUCUCCUCACUAUUUGCAUGGGUCUAGGGCACCAAUGCCGGCCCAUUUAGAAUAUGCAUGAAAGACCAGGGGGCGGCUCCUGGCACACAGUAUGUUAUUAUGUAUGAUAGGAAGACCCGGGGGUUAGCCCUAGGCAAUAUGCAUGAAAGACCAGGGGGUCGCUCCUGGCGCACAAUAUGUUAUUAUGUAUGACAGGAAGACCCGGGGGUUAGCCCUAGGCAAUAUGUAUGAAAGACCAGGAGGUGGCUCCCGGCGCAUUGUACGCUAUAGUUAUGAAAGACCAGGAGGUGGUUUCUGGCACAUUGUAUGCUGUUUAGCUAAGUAGAGUAGUAUGUACGGUUGUCUUUGUGAUACUUGCAUGGAAGCCCAGGGGGUGGCCCUUGGCACAUGUCUGUAAGACCAGGGGGUGGCCCUUAGCACUUGUCUGUAAGACCCAGGGAGCGGCCCAGGCUUGACCAGGAAGACCACGCGCGGCCCGUGGCAUAAUGGCAAGACUAUGUUUGGCACAUAGCACCUUACUUGGUUAUGGAUAAGUCGGUUAUGUAUGGUUCUUGGCUAUGAAUGGUUUGUAUGGUAUGUGGUAUCUGGGGAACUCACUAAGCUUCGUGCUUACGGCUUUCAGUUUUGGUUUCAGGUACUUCCGGUAGCGGAUGAUGGAGCUCGGGAUGAUCGCAUGGCACACACCAUAGAUUAGUCAGCCUGGGAAUGUUUUACUCUGAUAAUGAACAUGUGUUUUGAAAACUAAUACUCUGUUUAUGUUUUGAAAUGAUGAUUUUACUUUAAGUGAUACUUUAUUAAAAGAAAUUUUUAGUCUUGAAUUUUGGGACGUUACAAGUUGGUAUCAGAGCCUUGGUUUGAGGGAUUCGGGCAUACUCUUGGGUGUGCCUGAACUCAAACUGAGGGGUCGGAUAAAAAGUUUUCAAAAGUGAAAAGACAGUUUUGUAAAAAGAAUUUUGAGGACGAAAAACAGUUUUAGAAAAGCAAAAGGAAUUCAGAAAGAAAAGAACUUUGAAAAGAGAAAAGAGGUGUGGUGCAUGCAAUUAACCGAGCUCAAGUAAGAACCCCAAAUUACCCAUACAAGUUUAUGUUAUGCUUAUCAGUUGAUAGAACAGCAUGCUAGAAUAGGACUAAGGAUCUAGGGAUGAUGCCUUACGUGCCUGUUAUUUGAGCUUUUGAGUUGCAUGAUAGUACUGAUUAGACAGUAGCAGGAUAGCAUGUUUAGGUUAUGCCUGAGUUUAUGAGUUUGUGUUCAGAUUCUUGCUAUUUGGAUAUGAUUGCUUGAGUAUGUGGUGGUUAGAUUUUUCCCCUUGUCCGAAUGCUGCUUGGUUUGUGCAUUGUGGGAUUUUGAGUGAUGGGAGUUAGCCAUUAGGUGGAUACGUCACGUCACAUUGAUCAGGGUUGAAUAAUCUCAGAGUGCUGGAUUUGGCCCUAUUGCGCAGCUCUCGUUUGAGUCCAACCGUUGUAGGGACGAGUCUUUUACUUGAAGGAUUAUCUGAGCCUCGUCGCAUGUGAUGGUAUCCAGGUGAUGGCUAAUUGGCAUCACAAGGAGACCUUCAGCAGCUGAGGACUGGUUUGAGUUGAGCCAGAGGUUUCCCUAGGGUAAGCCUAGGAUGAGAUAGUGUUGGGAGCAGUAUUAGUGGAUAAGGGACCUGGUGGAGUCGAAGCAGUUCCUGAGGAAAGUACGGAUAGAUGUGGAAGGUAGUAUGGGCCCGUACUACUGAAAGCAGAGGAUCCGUACUCGAUCCGGGAAAGGCCGAGACAAGACCGGGAACCUGUAGGGUAUGUUUGGUCUCACAUCAAUGAUCAGUAUUCUGAUAGUAAUUGUGUUAUAUUUUCAGCAUGGUGACGUUGCGAGAGAGACCAGUGGGCGGGUCAGGAUCCGAUUCAGGAUCAGGUUCGGGCGCGGGAUCCAAACCAGUUGGUGAUGGGUUGCGCGAGUUCAUCGCAUCUGAGAUUACAAGAGGCAUCCUUGAGGUGACCCCGAUCAUUUUCGGGUCGAUCAAAGAGGGGAUCAUUGAGCUGAUGAAGGAUCGCCUCUGAGCUUUCAGGAGUGAUUGGGCGUCUGGCCAGGCAAGUACGCGCACGCUGUCCAUCAAGGACUUCAGAGCGUGUGGUGCGCCGGAUUUUCACGGGGUGAAGAACCCCAUUGCUGCCAAGAGAUGGAUCGCAGACAUUGAGUCUGCGCAGUUGACGAGCUUCUGCCCGGAUGGGUCGAAGGUCCGCUUUGCGGCGGCAUGUUUGAGAGACAGAGCUAGAGAUUGGUGGGAGUCAGUUGGAGACUCAUUGGGAGCCUCGGUCGUCGAGACUAUGACCUAGUCAGACUUCGUGACCAGGUUUAGGGCGGAUUUUGCGCUGGCAGUGGAGCUUCAGCAGCUGGCCAGAGAAUUCCUAAUAUGAGACAGACGACAGAGUCGGUGGCAGAGAUUACUGCCAAGUUUCGGGAGAGGGCCCUAUUAGUUCCUCAGCAUGCGGGGGAUGAUGAGAUGCAGAGGACCCGCUAUCAUGACAUGUUGAGAGCGGAGAUUCGGGAGCAUGUCAGCUUCUCGGCAUGCCCGACCCUGGACUCUAUGAUUGCCAGAGCUAGGGAGAGGGAGAUCGAUCUGGAGCACAUUGCGAAGAGGAAGUCAGAUUAGACAUUCACACUGGAGGGUCCCAGGAAGAGACCCAAGACUUCAGAUCAGCGAUUAGUGGGUCAGCAGGGCCGAAGUCAGUGCAGCACGUGCGGGAAACAGCACGAGGGAGUGUGUCGUUCCAGGGGUUCCGGCUGCUACAAGUGUGUCCGGGAGGGUCACGUCAGCAGGGACUGCCCACGGGGGGCAAGCCCGUUAUGUUUUCACUACAAUCAGGUGGGCCACAAGAGGACCGACUGCCCGAUGAUGAGGGGAGGAGCAGGGAGUGCGCCUGCCCCAGCGAUUAUGAGGAUUACAGAUGGGCGAGGGGGGUAGUGCCAUGCAGUGAUAGGUGAGGAGGAUCCGGGCUACAGGAAGGAAUGUUGCAGGUACGUAUCUAUGGCUAUUUUCAUUCCUAUAUGAAUUAUGGAAGUUUUUGCCCUGGAAUCAGGCGAUUUUAUGUAUGAUUUGUCUCUCUGCUUGUAUGUGGACUGUAUUUUGGAAUUGUCAUAUGCCAAUUGCAUACCAGGAGCUAUUAGUAGCUAGUGUAGGUUAUCUUUCAUUUCGGGAUCGAAGUGUUCAGUAUCAUCUCAGUUACGGAUGGAAAUGAUUCGGGAAGUGGUCAGCCACCAUCAUCGGGAUUUGAUGGUUCUAACCGGGGCAUUCGGGAUGGCUUUCGGAUGCAUCAAGGAAAGUGGCUUAUCACCAAGGAGUCUGUGCCCAGUUAUUCGGAACGUAAGGACAGUAGUCAGAGCUUAGAGGAUUUAUUUAGCAUCAGAGAUGCGGGCGGUGUUCAUCUAGUAUUCGGUAAUCAUGCGGUAGUUGGAGUGGGCUAGAGACGGAUUGCUAGCAGGGAUAUGGCGAUGGUGGUUACCAUGCCUAUCGUGUAAGGAAGGAAGGAAUGGAUAUCUUCGGGUUUUCGCAGGCAGUAAAGACUUAGCUGAGGCUAAGUGGGGGAGAAACAAUCAGGUUACGGGAGUAGAAGGGGUUUUGAAACUAGGUUAAGUUUCGCUCUCCUGUUGGGAAGAAAGACGGCUCAGGUGACUAUAUGAUUGGAGGAUAGUGUAAAUUGGAAGUUGGGAAAACUUGCCAAUUGUGAGAUCUCAUUUUUGAAAUUUUCUGGUCGCGAAUUACAUAGGAAUCGGUUGGGAGUUCUAUUUGGGACAUGGGUACCACUUGGGGGUACUCGAUUGUGCUGUAUGAUCAACUGUGGGUUAGUCGUAACAUCCAUUAGCAGCUAGACGGUGGGGAAAGGUGUUGUCAGACUACCGGGUGGCCCAUAGCAUUAGAUUGGUAAGACUGCGGUGUGGCCCGUAGCAUUAGAUUGGUAAGACUGUGGUGUGGCCCGUAGCACUAGAUUAGUGAGACUGCGGUGUGGCUCGCAUCAAUUGUAUGANNNNNNNNNNNNNNNNNNNNNNNNNNNNNNNNNNNNNNNNNNNNNNNNNNNNNNNNNNNNNNNNNNNNNNNNNNNNNNNNNNNNNNNNNNNNNNNNNNNNNNNNNNNNNGUAAGACUACGGGGUGGCCCGUAGCAUUCAUCGGUCCCUAUUCGUUAGGGCGAAUGUAUCAGGUGUGUGAUUUAGUGGCAGAAUGGAUUGAGCGGUUAUUGGUAAAGUUUCUUCGAAAGUCGCUGGAAGCGACUAGGAGUUGAGUUGGGACUAGCGACUAGUGGGAGCCGGUAAUCCAGAUAUCGGUAGAUUGGUAGGGACCAAGGUGGUCUCAGUUCAUCCGGAAGGCAGAUAAGGAAUAGCAGAAAUUUCCAGCCAGUGGCAGUGCCGGUAAGCAGUCUAUGGUUGAAUUCAGAUAGUUGGUCGAGGGGUGCUAGGCACCAAGUUCUGUCAGAAAGCAGUGUCAGUGGGGACAAACGGUGAUGACUCGCUCUGGGAAUAGUGGGGGUGAUGGAGUUGGUGAAGGAUAGGACCUUUACAGUGUCUGAGGAAAUAGUUGGAUAUGGAGCUUGCCCUGGGAAGGCAAGAAAUUGCGCAAGGAAAGAAGUGGAGAACCUCUGCGGGUUCAGUGCAGUACUCGGAAGGUACCAGAAUGAUUGUCGGUGGAAUAAAAUGUGUUUCCAGAAUGUUCAGGGUUAGGGUUGACCCGAGAUGAUUAUCCGCAAGGAUUGACGCUAGUAACCAAGAGGAAGACCAGCGAAGGUAGGCAGCUGGUGUUGGAUUAAUUAGUGGGGGUAUUGGAGGCGGAUCGCAGGCGCUGGGCUAUGGCAAACUUCGAGGACGAAGUUUAAUUUAAGUGGGGGAGAGUUGUAACACCCAAAGUUUUGAAGACCAAGAAAGGGAAGAAAACCCUAAGUUUAGGGGUCGACUCGGCGAGUCCAAGGAGGGACUCGGCGAGUCGGAGCGGGAUCCGGGUCGAGGAGUAAGUGACCUUUUCGGCGAGUCGGCCAAGGUGACUCGGCGAGUCUGGUCUGUGCGAGGAAAACCCUAAUUAUGGGAGUGUAUCAUAUAUAAAGGGUGUUAUGUCCCUCCCUCAGCCCCCAUAUCACUCCAGAAGACCUGUAAACCUUAUAAUUCGUGUGAGCUUCCAUUAUCGAGAGAAAUAGCUUUGGGAGGAAGGAAACUUUGGAGAGAGACUUGAAGAUCAAGAAGGUUGCUUCAAGGGAGAGGUGUGGGCUCGAGAUCUACUUCAGUUUGUGUUCAUCUUGGAGGUAUUAAGCUGCCAUUUUCCCUUCUUUNUAGAUUUAUGUGUGGUUGUUGGGGCUCUUUAGCCAUAAUGAUAUUACUUUGAGUUAGGAGCCGGAUCUGGAGUUGCUACUUCAGAUCCAGGUGUGUUAGGGACUGGAGAAGCAUAAAGUAUCAACCCUUGAGUCGAUUUUGAAUCCCCUUGGCCUUAAACCCUAGUUUAUGGUGCUUAUUGCCUAGAUCUCCCUAUCUACACGUAAAGUUUGCAACUUUACGUGGGGGAUAGCCUUGGGAAGGGUAGAUCUACAGGUUGGAGUCCAUGCAUGACUCGAAAGUGCUCUGCAUGUAUGUAGAUCUGAAUGGAGUCGACGAGUCCUUUGAGUGGACUCGGCGGGUACCAUGAAAAUGAGGAGGAACUCGACGAGUGGGAUGAACAGCUCGUCGAGUCGGAUGAAGAUAGGCAUGAACUCGACGAGUUGGAUGAACAACUCGGCGAGUUGGAUGAAGAUUGUUGUGUGCUCGGCGAGUCUGUUCUUAGACUCGGCGAGUCAGGUCGCGUGGUCCCAAACCCUUCGAGUUAAGACUCGAGUCAGCGAGUCGAGCAAGGACUCAGUGAGUUGGACAGGACAGGAAUCGGGAAUCAGUAGACUCG